rnacentral:rRNA from 3 species
GACGGAGGAGGCUAGCGUUGUUCGGAAUUACUGGGCGUAAAGCGCGCGCAGGCGGUUUUGCAAGUCAGGGGUGAAAGCCCGGGGCUCAACCUCGGAACUGCCCUUGAGACUGCGAGACUCGAGACCGGGAGAGGAGAGUGGAAUUCCCAGUGUAGAGGUGAAAUUCGUAGAUAUUGGGAAGAACACCAGUGGCGAAGGCGGCUCUCUGGCCCGGUACUGACGCUGAGGCGCGAAAGCGUGGGGAGCAAACAGG